GUGACACCGUUCAGCUCUUGCUGAACAUGACUGACGCGCUGCUAUGUGACGACCUGUACAAAAGCUUAAUAUAAUUUUGAGAGGGAAACCAGGGCUGCUGCCCUCUUGGAACGCUCCGGGCUGCUGUUACCUGCGUCAGGAGUAGUACUAGGUUUCGAGGUAGCAGACUGUCAGGGUACGCAGUGUGGGACUUGAAAACCUACUUUAACCCGUUCAGGGACUGGAAUCCCACUCUGCAGACACUGUUACUAGGUACGCUGGGGUUUCCUGGGUUCCAAAACGCUUUUCUGGUGCAGGACUGGCGUCUGACAGGACGGUGAGCGUCUGGCGCUAAGAUAGGCUGUUUGGUGCCGUACAGGCUUCAGAGACUCACGCCAGAGUAUUUGUCGUGGCCGGAAAUUGCGCAGGGGGCCAUAAUCUGUGUGGGGAACUAUCUCAUGGUCAGAUACUCUCGGCAGUUUACCCGCAGUCUGUCAUCUCGAGCCCCUCUGCUGACCGAGAUAGACCCGCAUUCCUGCGGGUAUGGGCGUAGUUGCUUAUUUUUCAGAACAUGGCACUCAAAUAUACUUUUGGUGAUUCGCUAUAGUCCUCCGUUAGUUGAAUAUAUGCUCGAAACUGUCACCUGAAAGGGUCAAGGUUGUAAGACAGCUUCCAACCUGCCCUGUGGCCCGUGCACGCUAUACGAGCAGCCUGCAAGCUAGAUGACCGUAAGAUGGACACGGUCUUGUUGGACAAAUUCGGUUCAUACCAUCACGGGGAUUUCGAGCACUAGUGAGUCCAAAAUUCGUCGUAUCCAUCUAGAACGAGUUUCCGUAUAGCAUACGAAAGCUAUGAGUGGCUGGCAAUUUUUCGCCGCGCAAAAUUCAAGCAGCUCAUGUGUCCCAGAUCUGGGAAGGCUGCUGCUAGAAAACGCAUAAUCAUAUACCUCAUAUGAAAAGAGAUUCAGCAGCGUCGCUUCCGCGAAUACGGACUUGCAAUGGAGUCGAUCUCGACUCUGAAGUGGACGUCCCGCGAAACGCCAUAGAUUAGCGCUCGCUGCAGGUUGUAUGUGUGCCCUUUUCAGCCUGAACCGCGAUACGUGUACUGCGAACAACGAGCAGUAUAGAAAGUUGUUCCCAACGCCCCCAUGUGGAGUCUAAGAUUUCGUCGCACUCUUCUUGGACUGGCGAGUGAGGGCAGCCCACCAAUGUUUUCAUCAUUACAUAAAUCGUAGCUAAAAGU